rnacentral:rRNA from 1 species
GAUGAACGCUGGCGGCGUGCCUAAUACAUGCAAGUCGAGCGAACGGACGAGAAGCUUGCUUCUCUGAUGUUAGCGGCGGACGGGUGAGUAACACGUGGAUAACCUACCUAUAAGACUGGGAUAACUUCGGGAAACCGGAGCUAAUACCGGAUAAUAUUUUGAACCGCAUGGUUCAAAAGUGAAAGACGGUCUUGCUGUCACUUAUAGAUGGAUCCGCGCUGCAUUAGCUAGUUGGCAAGGUAACGGCUUACCAAGGCAACGAUGCAUAGCCGACCUGAGAGGGUGAUCGGCCACACUGGAACUGAGACACGGUCCAGACUCCUACGGGAGGCAGCAGUAGGGAAUCUUCCGCAAUGGGCGAAAGCCUAACGGAGCAACGCCGCGUGAGUGAUGAAGGUCUUCGGAUCGUAAAACUCUGUUAUUAGGGAAGAACAUAUGUGUAAGUAACUGUGCACAUCUUGACGGUACCUAAUCAGAAAGUCACGGCUAACUACGUG